AGGACGAACGCUGGCGGCGUGCUUAACACAUGCAAGUUGAACGGGACGGAUAUUGAAGCGACUUUCGGAGUGGUGGAUAUAUUGUUUAGUAGCGGACGGGUGAGUAAUGCAUGAGAACCUGCCCUUCAGAGGGGGACAACAGUUGGAAACGGCUGCUGAUACCCCAUAUGCCGAGAGGUGAAAGGAGCGAUCCGCUGAAGGAGUGGCUCAUGUCCUAUCAGCUAGUUGGUGAGGUAAGUGCUCACCAAGGCGAUGACGGGUAGCCGGCCUGAGAGGGCGACCGGCCACACUGGAACUGAGAUACGGUCCAGACUCCUACGGGAGGCAGCAGUGGGGAAUAUUGGGCAAUGGGCGGAAGCCUUGACCCAGCGACGCCGCGUGAGGGAAGAAGGCCUUUGGGUCGUAAACCUCUGUUGUAUGGGAAGAAGGAAGUGACGGUACCAUACGAGGAAGUCCCGGCUAACUACGUGCCAGCAGCUGC
rnacentral:rRNA from 1 species